GCCAAUAACUAUACCUCGUUGAAUACAUCGGUUCUCGUCCGAUCACCGAAAAUAAACAGCGUCGGGCGCGGUUAGUACUUAGAUGGGUGACGGCUUGCGAACACAGCGUGUUGUCGGCA
rnacentral:rRNA from 1 species